UACGGAGGGAGCUAGCGUUGUUCGGAAUUACUGGGCGUAAAGCGCACGUAGGCGGCUUUUUAAGUCAGGGGUGAAAUCCCGGGGCUCAACCCCGGAACUGCCCUUGAAACUGGAGAGCUAGAAUCUUGGAGAGGCGAGUGGAAUUCCGAGUGUAGAGGUGAAAUUCGUAGAUAUUCGGAAGAACACCAGUGGCGAAGGCGGCUCACUGGCCUGGUAUUGACGCUGAGGUGCGAAAGCGUGGGGAGCAAACAGG
rnacentral:rRNA from 1 species